GCUUCAAAGAGUUGCAGUAUCUACACGGAGACAAUCACAGAAACAGAGACAUUGAAUACAAGACUAUUAUGGAGUAGAAACAUUACCUAAACAUCCAUGCAGAGAAAAUGACAACUAAUAUUUGACUAUGUCUUCUGUCUUCUUUCCAUCAGAAGUUCUAAACGUAGCAAGAAUUAAACCUAAGUGAGUUGGCAGAACCUUUCACUGAAAAUACAUGUACAUUGGUAUGAAAAUAACUUGGUUUACAAUAGUGAAAUAAAGGAAAGCAAAAUAUGGCAUGAAUUCUUAAUAUCUCAAUGACAUAAACAAAUUUGAGCCCCAGUUUUAUUGGAAGUGGAAAGCACACCCUAU
rnacentral:lncRNA from 10 species